UCAUAGUCCUUUCUUAAUUUUUCUUUUGACCGUAAAAGUAUCAAUGUUUUUACCAUUCGUUCCAUCUAUAUAUGUUCAGGUAGAAUCGUUUUUAGAUAUUUAUCUUCGUCAAAAUUAAUAAGUUAGAUCAUUUGUAUUUACUUAAACAAUGUUUAUCUGUUGGAACUUCUUAUCAUUCAUUGGCUAUUAAUUGUAGUAAGUUUUUUAUAUAAGGGUCAUAUAUAUUUGGCAUUUAUAGUUGUUUUUGCUACUUUAUUAUCUAAAAGUGCAGGAAAAUUUGUCAGAGAAUUGUUUCUUCGGCUUUGAUUCUUGACACUUUCGCUUUACAAUUUUUUUUUGUUUUCCUUCAAAUUGAAUUAUUACUAACAAAUUUCUACCCAUCAUAUUGCAUGCCAUGAGUUAAUAAUCAUGAAGGAAGACAUUAAUUUAAUUUUCCCAUGUCAUAAUGAAAAAUUCAAGUCUUAUCUAUUAUUUCUGUUAUAAUUUCUCUGCAUUCUUAUUUUGUUCUUUUUUGGGUGUAAACUAUAAAUGUUGUUAAACAAAUUCGAGUUUAAUAUUACUAGAGUUCAGUUUUGAACUUCAUCACAAGGAAUGAGUUUAGCCUUGAUUAGAAAGAUUAAUUAAUAGUUUGUGUUUUUGUUUUGCAGCUACACCCAACUUUAUAAAUUUAGUCAUUUAACAAGUUUGAUAUCAGUAUUCCACAUUGCAUUAAUUUCAUUCGUUUGGAUCUACAUGCAUGUUCAAGACCUAUUCAUGAUUGAAUUCAUGUAUAAACUUAACUAUACAAACGAAUAAGUUGUACUACAAACGAAUAAGUUGCACUACUUAUUACUUAUGAUAAGAAAGAAUUCUUUCCUUUUUACAGAACGAUGAGAUUUUUUAUUUUUCACCCAGGUUUGGUAUCCAUAUUGAAGCUCAACUAAUUCAGAUUUGGACGUUUCAAAUCCCCAUAGCUACUGGCAGUGCUCCCAACAUGAUUUUUUUCAUUCCGACGGCUCGAAGUCGAAACUUAUGAUUGAGCGCGUGGAGGAAUCACAAUCAUCCUACUACAAUCCAUGUUGGUAUUAGCAAUGAGAGUUGAUUCAAAAGGCCUCACCAAUAUUAGUUCUUAGUUUUUUGGUUUACUUUUGAUUAUUUUUAAGUUUCUAUACAUUAAUUGAUUAGACGAAAAACAUGAAAAGCAUCAAGGAUGAGACGCUUAACAUUACUUGUAAGUUUGAUGUUUGCUUGGAGUGAACUAUAAAGCCAUGUAGUGUUUGCUUAGAAAGAAAUUUAAAAUUUGAUAUUUUUUUAGUACCAACUUUAACUUUGAUGUUUGUUUGGAACUAAUUUAAAGUUUG
rnacentral:lncRNA from 1 species